rnacentral:lncRNA from 1 species
AGUCAUCUGAUACAUGGGAAAUUUUGAAGAAGAUCAUGGAGUUGCUAAGCUUGGAUGUGGCUAUCUUAAUUUGAUGCAUUGCUCUUCACUUUGCCAUUUGUGUAUUGAUAUUGCUUGAUUCUAAAGUCCAAGGGAAAUUUGGGUUUCUAUAUGACAUUCUUGUCUAUUGGAUUGCCGCCCAUUGGUCAGAUCUUUUCAACUCUUAACUUUUAAAUUUGUGCUUAGGAUUAGUCUCU